GGAGGCGCGCCGCGCAGCCCGGUCACGUGACCGGCCCGGUGGCCGGAGACCGAGGCGGCGCGUUCAUCGAGGGGCCGCUAUAGAGAAGCGGGGAUACGGGAGGCGGUCUGCGCGCACACACACGGCGAAGUGUGGGAGUCUGCUUGCCGGGGAGAGGCUGCACACACGCCGAGGGAAGGGGAGAGCGUUACUUCGGGGAAUUAAAACAACGAAAACGCUUUGAAAGCUACCAGCAUGCGGGAGUUUAUUACUCUUUUUAUGUGACUUGGGGAAUCAUUACGGAACAGCGCGACCGAGCCGCCUCGGUACCGUAGAACUGCUUUUCACCCGGGAUCAACUGGCAAGAAAAAGAAAGAGACUCCUGGUAUAAAGAGAGACUUCGCUGUUUAUUAAGAAGAGACCGGACGGGUUUUGUAUUGUUUUAUACGGUUUUGUUUCGCACCUUUAUACAUUUUUUCUCCUUUUUUUGUCGCCGUUGUAUUUUGAUCGGAAAGCUGAAAUAUGGUUGGGGAAAUGGAAGCGAAGGAGAAGCCGAAACCGACCCCAGAUUAUUUAAUGCAGCUCAUGAACGACAAGAAACUGAUGAGCAGCCUGCCCAACUUCUGCGGGAUCUUCAACCACCUGGAGAGGCUUCUGGACGAGGAGAUCGGCAGAGUGCGGAAGGACAUGUAUAACGAUACACUGAAUGGCAGCACGGAACGGCGGGCGUCGGAACUGCCCGAGGCCGUGGGCCCCAUCGCACAGCUGCAGGAGAAGCUCUACGUUCCGGUAAAAGAGUACCCCGACUUUAACUUCGUUGGGAGGAUCCUGGGGCCCCGGGGGCUGACGGCGAAGCAGCUGGAGGCGGAGACGGGCUGUAAGAUCAUGGUUCGAGGAAAGGGCUCCAUGCGGGACAAGAAGAAGGAGGAGCAGAACCGCGGGAAGCCAAACUGGGAGCACCUAAACGAGGACCUGCACGUGCUGAUCACCGUGGAGGACUCGCAGAACAGGGCCGAAAUCAAGCUGAAGAGGGCCGUGGAGGAGGUGAAGAAGCUGCUGGUCCCAGCGGCGGAGGGGGAGGACAGCCUGAAGAAGAUGCAGCUGAUGGAACUCGCCAUCCUUAACGGAACCUACCGCGAUGCCAACAUCAAGUCCCCUACCCUCUCUUUCUCCUUAGCCACUGCGGCCCAGGCCCCGCGCAUCCUCACGGCUCCUGCCUCAGCGAUGCCCCCCGCCGCCCUGCGAGCAGCGCCCACCGCAGUGCCCCCUGCAGGCCCCGCUCUUAUGCCCCUCAUUCGGCAGAUCCAGACCUCCGCCCUCAUGCCGGGUGCCACGCCCCACGCUGCCACCCUGCUGCCCCAAACUCCAGAGUCGGGCCUCAUCUACGCCCCGUACGAGUACCCCUACGCCCUGGCGCCGGCGUCCAUCAUGGAAUACCCCAUCGACGCCAGCGGAGUGCUAGGUGUGGCUUUCCCCACGAAAGGCUAAACGGCCCUCUCUGCCUGCCCCCCCCCUCCCCGACUGCCAUUUACAUGAACUGGGACAGAAUAACACUCGCUUAGAUUAAUACUGUGUUUGGGUAAUAAAAAAAUUCACUUCAUAGCCGUACUAAUCAUUUCCCUGAGUGUAGCUGUCUCUGGGAUGCUCAGUUUGAGGUUGUGCAUGCGCAGGCGUGCGGGAGGGUGUUUGGCUUUCCGACCCCACCCUGAUCACAUGACUAGGGAAGCCUCGUAUCAACCAUUCCUGAACCAAGGACCCAAGUCGGCGGCGGCUGCCUGCGUUCAGGACUUCCGGCACCACAAAGCAUCGCCGUACACGUCCUUAUUGAAGGAUAUCCGCUGUGCCUUCAGUCUCUCUUGUGCUGUGUUUUAUUUCCUGUUGGUGUUUGCUGCUGUCGUUUAAUAAGCGUCUCCUGUCUCUGUCGAGCUGUGAGUGGGAGACCGAGCCGCUAACUGCCUGGCGUGUGUCACCAUCCAAGCAGGUGCGGUCGCCACUAAGGUUCGAAGGCACGAGGUUCGAGUUCACCCUUACCAAAGGGUCGUGACCUCUGACAGAGCCGCCACAGGCAACUAACCUUUGACCUUCUGACCUCUGAACUCUGCACCCAAUGAUGACCUGACCGCUUCCUGCCCCGCUGACCAGCUCUCUGGCCACGUCUUCCCUCCGCCAUCUCGCGGUUGCCGGGAGAGCCCAAGCCACAGCUUCUCACCCUAACAACGCGCCCUAGUGACUUCACUCUGCCCUCCCCCGCCCCCCCGGACCCAGGCCCCGCCCCCAGAUCUAGGCCCCACCUCCUUUUCCCCGCCUACCCGCUCUGUUGCUGCCCAUUCCCGGUCAGGUGAUCAUGGUCCUGUACCUGCACUGAAUAGUGAAGCAAUAAGGUCCAAUUUGUCCCGCCUUGGCUUGCCCCCCACCCCAACCCUGCCCCCACCCUCCCACCUCUCCAGCCUUGUGAAGAGAAGCAGAACGCCGAGAUCUGACAGCAGCCCCAUGGGGGGGGGGCGAGCUGGUGCCAUCCUCUCUACAAUGGGUGUGGGGGUCCCUCCCAAAUCACAGGCACCCUGCUGGGGGGCCUCGGGCCUCUCCCCCGCAGCGUGCUCAUCAAGUCCCCAGGGUGUCGUGCCACCCAGCCUUCCUCUCCGGCACGUCACCAUCACACGCACACACACACCCCCCCCACCGCAGGAACACGCGCCUGUGAUCCGUAUGAGUGUUCCUGGGUGUGGGGGGGCGUCAUCCAGCACGGGUAGGUGCAGCCCAAAGCAUCCGCCAACUGUCAGCGCCCCCAGCCGGUCCUGAAGGGCCUGAGCCGCCGGUCACCGCCAGCGACCUGCUUCCGGAGGGUUCCGCACGCGUGCUGCUCGCGGCCGAUCAGCCCUGCCACUGCAGAGCCGGAGUUUGAAAAACUUACUCUGGGUUUUGUAUCUGAAUCACAUCGUGGGCAGGGGGGGGAGUCCGUCAUAGACGGGUCUCUCCAGUCCUCCUGCGGUAGGGUGACACAGCGAAGGAACCGGGCCCCCCAGGACCGCAGGUAGCGGUACCAGCGACCCAUGUCGCUGCCCGCGGGCCGUGACGAAGGCAGCCGUGUAAAAAGCACCCUUUUCGAAGGAUGUAAAAGCCAUGCUCUGAAUUUAUGGGAGGAAGAAACUGCUGACUUAAUGUACAAUAUCUGGGAAUUAGCAAACAAACACUGAAAUAUUAAAUAUGUACUUUUAUGAUACAGGGGUGCUGCAGAAGAGUAGGAGUAUAUUUUUCAGAAGUGUAGCCUUUUCUAUCUUACAGUAUUGUAUAGAAAACAUGGAACAAAGAAGCCCUUUAUGUCACCAUAGGAGGUCAUUUCCAGCACAGGGAGGGGGACUCUCCUUUUUGCGGAUGGAGAAGCAUCGACCAAAACAGCCUUCUGUUCUUUUGUUUUUUCAUUAAGCAUUUAUGACGUUGAGGAAAAAAAAAAUAACAUGAAAGUGCCUUAUGUCCCGCUGGCCAAUGAGCAGCCUGGAGUCUGCAGCUCCCUCCCACCAGCGGUGGGGGGGGGGGGGGGGGCUCUUGGGCCGGCAGCAGGCUGGCCUGUGCCUCGCUCCAGCCGAGGAGAAUGGAUCGAGUCGCAGCUGGCCUUCCCUGCCAGGGCGGCGUUUAGAUUGGCUUCCGAAGACUGUUCUUCACGACGGUCAUUAAUAAUAAUCAUAAUAAUAAUAAAUAAUAAUAACAGCGGCCGAGGAGCUGUGGCGUGGCUGUGGACCUUAACGUAUAGCUGUCCCCAUCAUGGCCAUCGCCUGCGCCUAGCAGGAAGCCUAAAUCUGCACAUAGGGGCUUGUGGGAUUUGGAGUUCAGCAGUUGUAGUCUCUCAUUAUUCCCUCCCCUUACAGGUACCGGUUUGUUUUUAACCUGCCCCAGCAGCUGUACUGAAACGCGCCUGCAAGUUCUCCACAUUAAUAUCUACCUUCAGGGUUUGUUUUUAACCCUGACCUGCCCCAGCAGCUGUACUGAAACGCGCCUGCAAGUUCUCCACAUUAAUAUCUACCUUCAGGGUUUGUUUGACUGACACUUUGUGUUAUUACUGGUCCUGCGAUUUUUAGAUUCCCACUGUGACUCGCCGCAGUCCUGUAGUACCAGAUCGUCCUGUAGAGCUCUGCCAUCAGGCUACUGUGUGAAUGUCGGGGCUUUGGGGCCCUUGUGGGUGUGGCCAUGAUUAUGACAUCAGCAGCAGGCUCCUCCCUCUUCGCUUACUAUGCAAAUAAUGGGGCUCCACUGGUGAUUGUUUUCUCUGGCAUGAAGUGUCUUCCUGGCUACAUUUACAUAUAUAGUGCCAUAUCUCAAUGCUGCGGGACAGGCUGAGGAGGACGGGGACGUCCUCAGUCACCCCGGCAGAGUUACGUUCGAUGACAUCAUCUCACUGUCAUGCAAUACGCAAUGCACCUCAAUGUAUGAUGGUCGCAUCAUUGAUUUGAUUUCCAGUAUUACUUUUUGUUUUCCUUUCUUUCUGUGGAUGCCUGUUCAUUUAGUAGCCAGUUUUGAGUUUGUUCCUGUGUGUCCUUUGUAAGAUGCCAAACCAUUGACGUUUCAUAUUUGAGUUUCUUUGCUCUAAUGCUUUUUAUUUUGAAGUGUACAAAUUUAUUGCCUCUAAGCACGAGAAAAUCACACAGACAUGUUUGCAGUUACGGCUGAAAUUGUGUACUUUUCUAUUCUAUUUUGUAUGUAUGUAAUAAAAAAGAUAUUGACUUAUUUCUAGAUAUGAACCGCAAAGGGGUCAACAAAAACACUAAAGAUCAAAAUUGUACAGGUUUCAAACGAUGUGCCUGGUAUUUCUCUGCAGACCUGUAUGCCUUACGGUGACUAAUGAUUUACUCCAGGGGCUCGGAAGUCUCCCUGUGCCAUGGCAACACAAAGGGGAGAGCGAGGGUGCCCCUAGUGGACGGUGUAAGCCGUCACCUCCAUCGCCACCAGUGUUAACUAGCAUAGUCUCUGUCCAGCUAAUGAUGCACGAUAUAUAUAUAACUGUCUAUUAGUGCCGAGUGUGUUUUUAAAAAGCAAUAUUAUGCCGUUUCAUUUACUGUUGGUUUUUGGUUGUUUUGACGCGGCAUCAUUUGGACACCAGGCCAAUGCCUGACUGAGCCGGUCGCUUCCGGAGAGUUCCGUCUCCGUGGGGAUCGUCCCUCGCUUGCUGUCUCGCCGCUCUCUGCCCGCCAGGCAUCACAGAUUAACCAGUAGUAUUAUUUUAAUGAACGUCACACAUGCAAACUUACUAACAGCGGACAGGGGUCUCAAUCGUUAACCGCUCCAUUGUCCGUUUUAGAUGUCUGCUUUGGUUGUUUUAAAACAUGAAUUGUGUGUAAUUAAACAAAGGGGUGGGGUGAGACGUAACUUUUUAGAAUGCUAAACAGAAUCAUAACCCUUUGUACUGAAAAGCAAUAGUGGAAUAUUGAAAUCCUAGUGGAAAAAAAUAAAUAAAACUAACUUUGGUGCUACA